AACGAACGCUGGCGGCAUGCCUAACACAUGCAAGUCGAACGAGACCUUCGGGUCUAGUGGCGCACGGGUGCGUAACGCGUGGGAAUCUGCCCUUAGGUACGGAAUAACUCAGGGAAACUUGAGCUAAUACCGUAUGAUGUCUUCGGACCAAAGAUUUAUCGCCUAGGGAUGAGCCCGCGUAGGAUUAGCUAGUUGGUGAGGUAAAGGCUCACCAAGGCGACGAUCCUUAGCUGGUCUGAGAGGAUGAUCAGCCACACUGGGACUGAGACACGGCCCAGACUCCUACGGGAGGCAGCAGUGGGGAAUAUUGGACAAUGGGCGAAAGCCUGAUCCAGCAAUGCCGCGUGAGUGAUGAAGGCCUUAGGGUUGUAAAGCUCUUUUACCCGGGAAGAUAAUGACUGUACCGGGAGAAUAAGCCCCGGCUAACUCCGUGCCAGCAGCCGCGGUAAAAC
rnacentral:rRNA from 1 species